UACGGGGGGAGCAAGCGUUGUUCGGAAUUACUGGGCGUAAAGCGCGCGUAGGCGGCUUUGUAAGUUAGAGGUGAAAGCCCGGGGCUCAACCCCGGAACAGCCUUUAAGACUGCAUCGCUAGAAUCCGGGAGAGGUGAGUGGAAUUCCGAGUGUAGAGGUGAAAUUCGUAGAUAUUCGGAAGAACACCAGUGGCGAAGGCGGCUCACUGGACCGGCAUUGACGCUGAGGUGCGAAAGCGUGGGGAGCAAACAGG
rnacentral:rRNA from 1 species